CAAGGACUGUGAGCUCGUGUUGUUCAAUUUGAAAGAACUGAUUUCGCACCGAAAACAGCAUAAACCUCCGAAGAGAAAGGACCCUGACCAAGACCGGGAAAUUUAUGAAUGUACGGACUGCUCGAAAUGUUUUCCAACCGAAGUAGCUGUGGAUAGACACAUCGCAUACGUCCAUUAUCCAACAAAGUUGUACAUGUGCGAAUUUUGUUCGAAAUCUUUCAAAGACAAAGCAUAUUACAACAUUCACAGAAAAUUGAUACACUUGAAGCAGUGGACGCCAGUACAAUGCACAAUUUGUGACAAGUGGCUAAAAGACACUACUUACUUAUCCACCCAUAUGAGGUUGUCUCAUACAACCAGGAACUGGCCUUGUAAGAGAUGUGGUAAGGUUUUCUUGACCAAUGUGAAUCUACAAUCGCACGUCCGCGCCAGCCACACGAAAAGAAACUUUCGGUGCAACGUCUGCGGAAAGUGUUUUUUCGUGAAAUCAAUUUUAAAGGAACAUUUGGCCUUGCAUACCGGUGGGUAUCUCUAUACCUGUUUACACUGUCCAAAGAUGUUUAACUCGCACUCUAAUAUGAUUGCGCACAAGAAAAAAAUGCAUUUUUUGGAGUGGAAAAAAGAUCGUGAACAGUAUCUAAAUCGGUAUAAUCCAGCCCAUAUAACUGGUGGAGCUGCAAAAGGUGAAACAACAGGAAUGCUUAGCAUUGGAAGCAAAAAGGCCUGAAACAUGAAAAGCAUUGUUGUGAUAACUUUGUGAGGAAGGAGCCACAAAACAGUUCAUCUCGAAAUUUGCCCAGAAAAAAAUGGAAUAGAAUUAAGGCACCUAUUCUGAAUAA